rnacentral:rRNA from 1 species
GACGAACGCUGGCGGCGUGCUUAACACAUGCAAGUCGAACGAAGCUUGAUUACGGAUUCUUCGGAUGAAGUAUGAUAUGACUGAGUGGCGGACGGGUGAGUAACGCGUGAGUAACCUGCCCUUCAGAGGGGGAUAGCGUUUGGAAACGAACGGUAAUACCGCAUAAUGUAUUUUGACCGCAUGAUCGAAAUACCAAAGAUUUAUCGCUGAAGGAUGGACUCGCGUCUGAUUAGGUAGUUGGUGGGGUAACGGCCUACCAAGCCGACGAUCAGUAGCCGGACUGAGAGGUUGAGCGGCCACAUUGGGACUGAGACACGGCCCAGACUCCUACGGGAGACAGCAGUGGGGAAUAUUGCACAAUGGGCGCAAGUCUGAUGCAGCAACGCCGCGUGAAGGAAGACGGUUUUCGGAUUGUAAACUUCUGUUCUUAGUGAAGAAUAAUGACGGUAGCUAAGGAGCAAGCCACGGCUAACUACGUG